rnacentral:lncRNA from 1 species
CGGAAAAAAAAUGAAAGGAAACUCUAAACUUUUGAUAUUUAACCCAAAAUUUUCGUAAAGCCACGAACUUCCGCUGACCAUAACUUCCACAUACGAAGUCCGUUUUACGUGUGCUACGUGUCUACGAACUCGUAUCGUCGUGCUCUACAGCUUCCGUGAAGGAAGUUUUCCGAGAAACCCAACAAAUUAAAAAGUCAACUCUUGACCCUUCAAAAUAAAGCAUUUUCACGGAAAUAAAAACUCGACUACUUCUAGUCCACUCACUAAACCACAAAACCAUACAACUCUUACUUAAAUAAAUUCCAAAAUAAAAUUAGAAACUAACAAUAAAUUUCCGGGGUAUUACAGAAUCGUUUCGUUCUCCUUCUUGGUAAGCCUUCAAUUUCUGUUAAAUUUUAGCUAUUUUUUUUAGGAUUAAAUUCAGUGUACUACCCUGAACUUUGGGUCACUCAUCAGGUGUGCCUCUCUUCUUCUUUUUUCAUCAGGUGUACCCUUAAACUCUUAAAAUCGAUCAAGCUGAGACAAAAAUUCAAAUUUCAUCCGUUUAUGACAUCAGCGUCCGACGUGGAGAAAACAAGAAUGGCCCACAUAUCAGUCUUCAACCCCUAGUUUGGCGAAAAGACCAAACUAGCCAUUGCUCCUAUUUUCUUUCUCUGAACUUCGAUACAGACCAAACCCAGAAAAAAAAACACACGGAUCAAUUUUCUCACUUUCUCUCUCACUUCGUUCCCGACCCAGAACCGCCCACAUAGAUCAACACCCAAAACCCAUAUCGAACAAGAUUGAAGACCCUGAUUGAAGAGAUGGUUGAGCCUGAUGUGUGGAUACCGAGAUUAACAAAUGACAAACAAGGAUUGUGGGAGGAAGCCGAAAAAAUCCCUAACUAUGGUGAGUGUUUAAUUUCGAUAUGAACAUUACGGCUUGUGUUUCGACUUUGUGCAAAGGUUAUUGGUUUUGAUUUUGGGGUUUAUUACCUUGAACUGUUUGAAAUUUUGAUUUUAGGGUUUAUGGGAGGUGGGUUUUCGAUAUUUUGCUAUUAUUGUGAAGAGAUAAGG